CCCUUAGAUGUUCUGGACCGCACGCGUGCUACACUGAGUGGAUCAGCGGGUCAGGUUGCGCGAAAGCGUUUCCUAAUCUUGAAAUCCGCUCGUGAUGGGGAUUGACGGUUGCAAUUUUCUGUCAUGAACGAGGAAUACCUUGUAAGCGCGAGUCAUCAUCCCGCGCUGAAUACGUCCCUGCCCUUUGUACACACCGCCCGUCGCUCCUACCGAUUGAGUGGUCCGGUGAGGCUUUGGGAUCUGAGCGGAAAGAGCGUUUCGCUCGUUCUGCCCGGAAAACUCAGUCGAACCUUAUCAUUUAGAGGAAGGAGAAGUCGUAACA
rnacentral:rRNA from 1 species